UGCUAGGGUUUUGGGGGAGCAAAUCGAAAUCUCCGAAGGCGAGAUGAUGAAGAGGCUACACUACUUCUCCUCCUUCUGCAAAACCGUGUAUUUCAGUCGUUCUCCUCACCCCCACUAUGCUGCCCUCCUCUUUGCCGUCUUACCUUACUCGGACUCCGCCACCGCCGCCGGCGCCGCAUCCGCCACUGGGAAGCACAUGUUCAUGGUCCAAUACCUCGUCGACUCAUGUGGCUUCGACCAGGAGAAGGCCACCGAGGCCUCGAAGCUUCUCAAGGGCAUCCAAUCCCGUCAGCAGCCCGACUCCGUCCUUGCUUUCCUCAAAAGUUACGGCUUCGAUGACGCAUCAGUGAAAAAGCUCCUACGUUAUUCACCCAAAUGUCUUCUUUUGGACGUAGAGAAGACACUUGCGCCAAAGUUCCGAGCUUUCGAAGAUCUGGGUCUCUCCCCAUCCGACGUCGUCCACCUCGUCCGGUCGAAUCCCCGCACCGUUAGAAUCAAACACGAACUCACUGUACCUAAGAUCGAAUUUUGGCAAGGCCUUCUCGGGUCCAAGGAUGCGCUGGUGAAGUUGUUCAAGAGAAACCGAGUGAUUCUUUCGUACAGUAUCGAGAAGAAGAUCCAGCCCAACCUUGAGUUGCUUCGGGAAUGUGGCUUGGACGGCCCAAAGCUUAACACUAUGUUGCAGAACUACCCACAGAUCGUGGCACAGAAUGGUGAUUUCUUGAAGUCCUUAAUCAGUCGCACAGAGGAAUUGGGAGUGCCGCGGACAUCUGGGAUGUUCCAUAUUACUCUGCGUGCACUCUGGAUGGUCAGUCCAGAGAAGUUCAAGAUGCAAAUGGAAUUGUUCCAGAGCUUCGGGUGGUCAGAGGACAAUUUUGUUGCGGCAUUCCAAAAGUGUCCUACCUUCACACAAGGGUCUUUGACGACAUUGCAGAGAAAAAUGGAGUUUUUGAUAAAUGAGGUUGGAUAUGCUUCUUCUUUCAUUGCUAUACGUCCGAUACUAUUGAUAAUGAGCUUGGAGAGAAGGUUAAUUCCAAGACAUCGGAUCUUGGCAACCUUGAAGUCUCGGGGGCACUGUGAAAGUGAUUACAAAGUGACGGCAUAUAUGAUGGCUUCUGAGACCAAAUUUGUAGAGAAGUACAUUAUCUUCUAUAAGGAUAGAUAUCCAGAUCUGAGUGAACUCUACGCAAGCUUGAAACACACAAAUACUUCUGAUUCUGGACUUCAAUGAGGUCAUCAGAGGUCACAUUUCAUAAAUUUCCCCUCCAUCCUUUUCCAUAAUCUUUACAUAAAAAUGUAUAUAUUUCGACGUGGUGGACAUAGACGGCGACCACAGGACCAGACACAUCCAUCACCUGCCAGUGAACCUAAUCCACCCCCUACUCAAGCAGGCCCAUCCCAUGUGUCUUCUCCACCGGCAUCAUAUUCCCUUGCCAGUGUACCUAUGCCACCCCUUCAUCAGCCGGGCCCUUCUCAUGUACCUUCUGCACCGGUUUCAUAUUCGCCGCCACAAGUACCUUACCCAGAACAGUUACCUGUCC